UACGGAGGGUGCAAGCGUUAUCCGGAUUUACUGGGUUUAAAGGGUGCGUAGGUGGUUAGGUAAGUCAGUGGUGAAAUCUUCGAGCUUAACUCGGAAACUGCCAUUGAUACUAUUUAUCUUGAAUACUCUGGAGGUAAGCGGAAUAUGUCAUGUAGCGGUGAAAUGCUUAGAUAUGACAUAGAACACCAAUUGCGAAGGCAGCUUACUACAUAGUUAUUGACACUGAGGCACGAAAGCGUGGGGAUCAAACAGG
rnacentral:rRNA from 1 species